rnacentral:rRNA from 1 species
GACGAACGCUGGCGGCGUGCUUAACACAUGCAAGUCGAACGGAAAGGCCUGCUUUCCCUUGUGGAUUGCGGGUACUCGCGUGGCGAACGGGUGAGUAACACGUGGGUGAUCUGCCCCCAACUUGGGUAUAAGCCUGGGAAACUGGGUCUAAUUCCCGAUAGGACUGCAGGGUGGUGCCUGUGGUGGAAAACGAUUUUCUAGUGGUUGGGGAUGAGCUCGCGGCCUAUCAGCUUGUUGGUGGGGUAAUGGCCUACGAAGGCGGCGACGGGGAGCCGGCCUGAGAGCGUGGACGGGCACAUUGGGACUGGGAGACGGCCCAGACGCCUACGGGAGGCAGCAGUGGGGAAUAUUGGGGAAUGGGCGGAAGCCUGAUGCAGCGACGCCGCGUGGGGGAUGACGGCCUUCGGGUUGUAAACUCCUUUCGACCGCGAGGAAGCCACCUGGUUGGAAGGGUGGUGACGGUAGUGGUAGAAGAAGCACCGGCUAACUACGUG